rfam:Schistosoma mattheei strain Denwood, Zambia genome assembly, scaffold: SMTD_scaffold0001874
AUCCGGCUGACGAGUCCUAAAUAGGACGAAGUGACACGCGUCGUGGAA